rnacentral:lncRNA from 1 species
CCAUGCUUAUUCACAUUUUCCUUUAAACUUCGUUACAAUGUAUAUAUUACAUUUAUAAAGCACACAAAUUAAGAACUUCAAAUAUAUAGGGCUAUAGACUUAACAGUCCCUUGAUAGUUUUCUUCAUAAUUAACAAGAAAACUAAAAUCUGCUAGCAGUCACCCCAUUUACAGCUGUUUUUACUCAGGGGUAAAAGUAGGAGGGUAGAAAUCCAACUUUUAAUAGUAGAAGGUCUAAUUCGAAAAUAUCAAUAUUAAUACUUUAUUUCUUCAAUUGUUGGUUUAAUGGCUAAAGAAUGUUUGAGAUCACCAAUGUGAAGAGUGUGUUCACCCAUCGGAACCCUUCGGAUCCCAAAUUUGUCAACCACACUCAAAUGUUUGCACACAUGAAGGUCAAGGGCAACCCUUUGGAGCCCGCCGGCCGCCACGUGGACCUUUUGAAAAGCCACCAAUUGCUUGUGUGUGGCCCAUUUACCUUCUGGCGGGCUCGAGAACACCAUCACGGUGUGAGUCCCAUCCAUGGUUCCAGUAUUCUCCACGUCGAUGUGUAGACCCGAGGAGAGGGUGGAGCAUUUGGUGUGUGAUACUCGUACCCCGUUAGUUAAAGUUGUCGCGUUGUUGUUUUCGAGGUGGAUUGAUAACAUGGGAAGUGAAACCGUUGUUGGAGCUUUAGCUAUGGAAUGUCGGAAAGUUGUGUAACUUAGACCAUGCCCAAAUGGAUAGACCACGGGCCCUUUGUAGAAACGAUAGGGUGUUGGCCAAAGCCCCGUCAACAUCAACCUCUUUCAACUUCCCUUGUUUUAUCGCCCCCUCGGUAUAAACCGCCAAAUGUGG